AAUGAACGCUGGCGGCAUGCCUAACACAUGCAAGUCGAACGAAGGCUUCGGCCUUAGUGGCGCACGGGUGCGUAACGCGUGGGAAUCUGCCCUCAGGUUCGGAAUAACAGCGAGAAAUUGCUGCUAAUACCGGAUGAUAUCGCGAGAUCAAAGAUUUAUCGCCUGAGGAUGAGCCCGCGUAGGAUUAGCUAGUUGGUGUGGUAAAGGCGCACCAAGGCGACGAUCCUUAGCUGGUCUGAGAGGAUGAUCAGCCACACUGGGACUGAGACACGUCCCGGACUACUACGGGAGGCAGCGUUGGGUAAUAUUGGUCAGUGAGCGAAAGCCUGUUCCAGCAAUUCAGCGUGGGUGAUGAAGGCCUUAGGGUUGUAAAGCUGUUUUGCCCGGGAUGAUAAUGACGGUAACGGGAGAAUAAGCUCCGGCUCACUCCGAGGCAGAAGCUGCAGUAA
rnacentral:rRNA from 1 species